rnacentral:rRNA from 1 species
GACAGAGGUGCCGAGCGUUAGGCGGAAUCACUGGGCUUAAAGCGUGUGUAGGCGGACCGUUAAGUGUCUUGUGAAAUCCCCCGGCUCAACCGGGGAAUUGCUGGGCAUACUGGCGGUCUUGAGCAGUCUAGGGGCAGAUGGAACAAGUGGUGGAGCGGUGAAAUGCGCAGAUAUCACUUGGAACGCCAAAGGUGAAGACAGUCUGCUGGGGACUUGCUGACGCUGAGACACGAAAGCCAGGGGAGCGAACGGGG